rnacentral:rRNA from 1 species
UAGGGAAUAUUGCACAAUGGGCGAAAGCCUGAUGCAGCAACGCCGCGUGUGCGAUGAAGGCCUUCGGGUCGUAAAGCACUUUUCUGGGAGAUGAGCAAGGACAGUAUCUCAGGAAUAAGUCUCGGCUAACUACGUGCCAGCAGCCGCGGUAAAACGUAGGAGGCAAGCGUUAUCCGGAUUCACUGGGCGUAAAGCGCGUGCAGGCGGUUCGGUAAGUUGGGCGUGAAAUCUCCUGGCUUAACUAGGAGAGGUCGUUCAAUACUACCGGACUUGAGAGUGAUAGAGGAAGAUGGAAUUCCCGGUGUAGUGGUGAAAUGCGUAGAUAUCGGGAGGAACACCAGUGGCGAAAGCGAUCUUCUGGAUCAUUUCUGACGCUCAGACGCGAAAGCUAGGGUAGUAAACGGG